rnacentral:snRNA from 1 species
AUACUUAAUUGUUGCCGGGCCCUCGUUGAUCACCGAGGACGAGCCCCCAGGGCGAGGCGCGGUUAUUGCACUGCGCUCGCGUUGACCCCUGCCACUACCCCAAACUGGUACACAUGAAGCAUGCAAACACGGCCUCCGCCGGCAGCCGAUCGCGGAGGCCGUGA